UGAAAGUUGAAAAACGAGAAUUGUGACAGC
rnacentral:piRNA from 1 species